AGGAUCCACUAUCAAAGGCAACAAAGUAAUUGAAGCGGCUUCAAAGGAGCUCACCUGAUUCUUUGGAAACACACAUUCUUUCGUUUGAAGUAAAUAUGAGAAAGUGGAAAACUUUGCUUGCUUUUCAGGCGGUGAAGCAGCUGCUCCGGUUGGACGCAGAAAGCCCUGACACACAUAGGUGCCUGUUAAAGUUUUCCACGUAGUUAGUUCCAUGGCUGCCCCAGCUACUGACUCUGAGAAACUUAUUUGCACUGUAUUAGAAGCUGAACGACCAUAAAUCAGUCAUUUGCAUGGGAAGUCUCUGUUAGAGGCAAAUGAGUCAUUCCUCAAUAAGCAUAAAGAUUCCUUGAUGCACAAGGCAGCUGCUGCAGAAAUGCUGUAUCUUUGGAACCCAGCAAUAAGGGCAAGGCUGUGAAAUUAAUUGAGGAUUCAAGCAACAACUUGGUGCAAAGAAAUGGAGCACUCAGAUCAGUUAAGGAAUGGAAACUCAAGGAUUGUAUUGCGGUUCACAAGCUACUCUCCUCAGCAGUAGUUGAUAUGGAUGCUGCAUCAAGAUGGAAAUUACGUUGUGCUGAAUACUUCCCGCACUCCACAUAUUUUUGAAGGAAGUCGCAGUUCUGCAGUUCUAAAGUCCUCGUACAACCAGAUUUCUAGUAAUCCUGAAAAUGGAGUCAACCAUCCUGCGGGUGGCAUAAGCAUGGAUUCUCUUGCGUCAAAUGGAAAACUGGAAGCUUUUAAGGACCUCUCUAUCUAACAAGUGGAGUUGAAAGCUCAUUUUGGGCAAUGGGAAUAUGCAUUAAGCUAAGGUUUCCCUUUUUGCAUUGUUAGUUUUACAAUCUAUAGGACAUCCUGAGGUGGAGCCAUAGGAGAAAUUUUGAAGAACGGAUGCUUCAUCAGCCUUAAGAACAAGUGGCCUCUGCAAACUUACUUCUGGAGACAUGUUGUACUUCCCUUAUUUAUGUCCACCAUUGUUUUUCCUUUGUAUAAACAUUGCGUUCUGUGAAAAAUUUUGGAAUGAGAUGUUACAAAUGAUA